GGACUACCGUGGCAGUGACGGGUAACGGGGAAUUAGGGUUCGAUUCCGGAGAGGGAGCCUGAGAAACGGCUACCACAUCUAAGGAAGGCAGCAGGCGCGCAAAUUACCCAAUCCUGACUCAGGGAGGUAGUGACAAGAAAUAACAACACUGGAAAUUCUAUUUCUAGUGAUUGGAAUGAUGGGAAUCCAAACCCCUUUCAGAGUAACAAUUGGAGGGCAAGUCUGGUGCCAGCAGCCGCGGUAAUUCCAGCUCCAAUAGCGUAUAUUAAAGUUGUUGCAGUUAAAAAGCUCGUAGUUGGAUAUCUGCUGGAAGCAGCCAGUCCGCCCUUUGUGGGUGUGCACUUGGUGAAUUCUGGCAUCCUCCUGAUUGGUGUCAUCAUCACUUCAUUGUGUUGGUGGCAGCUGUCAGGACCGUUACUUUGAGAAAAUUAGAGUGUUUCAAGCAGGCUUGUUGCCUUGAAUACUGCAGCAU
rnacentral:rRNA from 1 species